rnacentral:rRNA from 1 species
UACGAAGGGGGGCUAGCGUUGCUCGGAAUUACUGGGCGUAAAGGGCGCGUAGGCGGACAGCUUAGUCAGAGGUGAAAGCCCAGGGCUCAACCUUGGAACUGCCUUUGAUACUGGCUAUCUUGAGUUCGGGAGAGGUGAGUGGAACUGCGAGUGUAGAGGUGAAAUUCGUAGAUAUUCGCAAGAACACCAGUGGCGAAGGCGGCUCACUGGCCCGGUACUGACGUUGAGGCACGAAAGCGUGGGGGAGCAAACAGGG